rnacentral:rRNA from 1 species
UACGUAGGGUGCAAGCGUUAUUCGGAAUUACUGGGCGUAAAGCGUGCGCAGGCGGUUCUAUAAGACAGAUGUGAAAUCCCCGGGCUCAACCUGGGAACUGCAUUUGUGACUGUAGAGCUGGAGUGCGGCAGAGGGGGAUGGAAUUCCGCGUGUAGCAGUGAAAUGCGUAGAUAUGCGGAGGAACACCGAUGGCGAAGGCAAUCCCCUGGGCCUGCACUGACGCUCAUGCACGAAAGCGUGGGGAGCAAACAGG